UUUUGGUUGAAAAUUAUGAAUGUGCUAAAGAUUCAAAUAUUAUGGAAGUCUUUGAAUAAGCUGUCAACAAGAACCCUACAACAUAAAGAGGAUCUAAUACAAGCAAGAACACUUUUGUAUAUUUGUUAGCUUGUACAAUCGAGUCUUGAGAUUUCUUAUCAUUGUUAAUCUUAGAAUCUUAAAGACAUCAGAAUUUAUGUUCCAAC
rnacentral:lncRNA from 1 species